AAGGUCGCCCGUGCCUACGUGCUCUAUCGCGAUGAACGUCAACGCCAGCGCGCCGAAGCCGCCGCCGCCAAGCCGGUGAAGGCAUCCUCCGAGCCGCAGUUGCAUGUCACGCUCGGUAACGGCACGCGCGUGCCGCUCGAUGUNCUGAUUAUUCAGGAAGCGUGCGCCAAUCUUGACGGCGUCGAUGCCGCGCCUGUGCUCGCUGAAACCAGGCGCAAUCUUUACGAUGGGAUCAGCCAGGACGAGCUUGCGCUGGCCGGCAUCA
rnacentral:misc_RNA from 1 species